rnacentral:rRNA from 1 species
UACGUAGGAGGCGAGCGUUUGUCCGGAAUUACUGGGCGUAAAGCGCGUGUAGGCGGUCUGAAUAGUCUGCUGUGAAAGCGCCUGGCUUAACCGGGCGAGGUCGGCGGAAACUCUCAGACUGGAGGCCGGUAGAGGGGGGUGGAAUUCCCGGUGUAGUGGUGAAAUGCGUAGAGAUCGGGAGGAACACCUGUGGCGAAGGCGGCCCCCUGGGCCGCGCCUGACGCUGAGACGCGAAGGCUAGGGGAGCGAACGG